UACGAAGGGGGCUAGCGUUGUUCGGAUUUACUGGGCGUAAAGCGCACGUAGGCGGCUUUCUAAGUCAGGGGUGAAAUCCUGGAGCUCAACUCCAGAACUGCCUUUGAUACUGGCGAUCUCGAGUCCGGGAGAGGUGAGUGGAACUGCGAGUGUAGAGGUGAAAUUCGUAGAUAUUCGCAAGAACACCAGUGGCGAAGGCGGCUCACUGGCCCGGUACUGACGCUGAGGUGCGAAAGCGUGGGGAGCAAACAGG
rnacentral:rRNA from 1 species